UACGAAGGGGGCUAGCGUUGUUCGGAAUUACUGGGCGUAAAGGGCGCGUAGGCGGCCUUCUAAGUCGAACGUGAAAUCCCCGGGCUCAACCCGGGAACUGCGUCCGAUACUGGAAGGCUUGAAUCCGGGAGAGGGAUGCGGAAUUCCAGGUGUAGCGGUGAAAUGCGUAGAUAUCUGGAGGAACACCGGUGGCGAAGGCGGCAUCCUGGACCGGCAUUGACGCUGAGGCGCGAAAGCCAGGGAGCAAACGG
rnacentral:rRNA from 1 species